UUUGAAGAAGUAUAUGAUGUAGAGAAAUUUGUGAAAAGCCUGGAUGGGGUAAUCAAAGUGGUCAAGGAUCUACCUGAUGAUAUAUCAAUUCGAGAUUUUGCUGUUGUCAAGGUCCCUAAUCGUGUUACAGAAGAUCACAUUGCAGAAUUAGUUGAACCAAUCUUUAGAACGAAGGGGAACAUAAGACUGGCUACUUACUUCCCCUCAGUAAAUAUGAGAAAGACCACACUAAAAAGUAACACUGAUUCAGUUGCGUGUUUAGCAAUGUUUGGAACUUUAGAGUUGCAGCCAGAGGUUAAUGAAGUUGUUGACUCCAUGAUCGAGCGGUUAAAAACCCUGAGUCGCAAGUCUGAUGGCCGGUUUAUAGCUGUGGACUUGAGAGUUGAGAUAUUGGAAAAGAAGAGUUGCCAUGGAAGUGGUGCUGGUGGAGUAAAAACUUGUUAUGAUGCUAAAGAGAUCGCCCUGUUUUUAAGAAAGAUUGGAUUUGACAAGGAUACCAC
rnacentral:misc_RNA from 1 species